GAUGAACGCUGGCGGCGUGCCUAAUACAUGCAAGUCGAGCGGUGACACUUCGGGUGACGAGCGGCGGACGGCUGAGUAACACGUAGGAACGUACCCCAAACUGAGGGAUAAGCACCGGAAACGGUGUCUAAUACCGCAUGUGGUCUUCGGAUUAAAGCUUCGGCGGUUUGGGAACGGCCUGCGCAUGAUUAGCUUGUUGGUGAGGUAAUAGCUCACCAAGGCGACGAUCAUUAGCUGGUCUAAGAGGAUGAUCAGCCAGACUGGGACUGAGAACGGCCCAGACUCCUACGGGAGGCAGCAGUAGGGAAUCUUCCACAAUGGGCGAAAGCCUGAUGGAGCAACGCCGCGUGCAGGAUGAAGGCCUUCGGGUCGUAAACUGCUUUUAUUGGUGACGAUUAUGACGGUAGCCAAUGAAUAAGGAUCGGCUAACUCCGUGCCAGCCGCCGCCGUAA
rnacentral:rRNA from 1 species